UAGGAGUCUGAAAACAGUUAUCCAGUCCUGGUUACGGAGGUGCUCAGUCAUUUGCUCAUUAGAAGAGCUGUGAAACGCCAGUCGGGGAGAGAUCGCGUCAUUGGACAGUGUGCUUUACACCCGUCUGAGUCAGAGCAUGGCAUUGGUGUGCAGGCCUGUCAUUCAUGAUUGGUCAUAAGUGGGCGUUACUUCUGUUCGUUUGACGUUAGGGUUUGAUUGGUCAGCUGUUGCUCUUGGCGUCACUGCGCUGCCAGCUGAUCGGGAGGAGAAGCCGGUAUGAGGGGAGUUGAAGCGGAGACUGAGGACGCAGCAAUACGUGGGCUAGAUUGUGAAAUUUAGGACGCAAGACUAAUGGUGUCGUUUUCAAGUUGAGUAAUUAUAUUGUUAAUGAUUUCUGUAACACUGUUGAGUUGUCUUGAGUAGGUUAGGAUUAGAUAUUUUAGCUGAGUCGCGCUUUAGCUCUUUGAUGUCAGGAGUGAUUUGAGGUUAAGGUGUGGCUUUCAGCUAAAGGACGAAUUACUUAAAUUGUAGCAGAUCUUAUAAUUAAUUCUUCGACAUUUAGCCUUUAUUUACAGUUAGAGUGAGACAUUAAAGUGGGCGAGAGAGACUGGAAAUGGGAUUGGGACAUGACCCAGGUCAGAAUCGAACUUGAGUUCCCAAUGAGCUUUUAAAUGUCGUAUGUGCGCUGCCUUGUGCGCCAGAACUGAAUCAUGAGGGUUUUAAUGGUUUUCGCGAGGAUUUGAUACGCGUGUCACCGGGGAGAUAUUUAAAUCCAGGAAGCGUUCGGUUACACAACGGAGGCCAAUCGUUCGAUGACCGUUGCAACAUUCGUUCUAACUUUUCGGAAGUGUGUGAACCCACUUUAGAACAAAUGGAAUCUGUUACGUUCCAUUGAAAGAGAUCGCGAGAGCGCUCGGUUCAGAGUUGAGCCUCACAGGGCGUCAGCCGUACGUUAGUAGACAGUCUAUAGGCAGAAUGAGGAAAAAAAAAAAAUAACCCAUUGCGAAAAUAAAGGAUGUUACGCCAGAUUUAUGUGAUGUCUGGGAUUCGAACCGCUUUCCAGCGUGACAUACGAAUCAAUCGACGAGAGAAAUCGAGAAUUCUACCAGUGAACCUAACAUCUGGAGUGGAGACCUCCGUUUCAACAGUACGUCGUUAUGGAUUUCUUCUUACAUCUGAAUGACGUCCGACUGCUGAAGGCAGCCAAGCUAGUUCACCUCAGCAGUACAGAGUGUGAGCUGGCCCAGCUCUGUGGAAGGGUGGAGUCAGUCCAGCACGGCGUAUCUCAGAAAGCAUGGAGGGCCUCUGCAGACAGAAUGGAAUUUAUACCAUAUGUACCAGGCAUCCCAAGAAUGCAUGGCACAGAGACUUGACCAACGGAAAGAACCGCAGAAAGUGCAAUGGAAAGGAUCCUGCCACGCCCUAUUCCCACGUUUUCUUCGGAAUAUCAGGGACAGACUCUGGGAAGCCCACUGGCUGACCUGCAGCAGUUCUUCACUGGCAAGCUUUAUGUCCUUGUGUACCAGCUAAAGCUGCCAGCUGAAGAACUGUUGUGGUUGGCUCUUUCCUGGCACGUCAGCACAGAGAUGGUGAUGCAGAAGUAACAGCAUCAUUCCAGACAGUCGAUGAGGCCGUCUCAGCCAAUCCUGGAUCAGACGGAUCCCAUUUUUUUCUCUCCCUCCAGCAGCCAGCUCACGUGACCUGCCUGAGCUUGGCUGUUCGUUAUUCUCAGGCAUAAACAAAGGCUACCAUACGGGGUCCAUGCUGACUCAGCCACAUUCCUGGCCCGGUGAGGGUCCCUUGCCCUUAUUUGGGUGUGGAGCAGGACAGGAGUGGCAUUCUGUGCUCUCAACCAAGCUGACAGAGGUGGCCAUCUUGCUCUUCUGAUGUAGCAAAUGGUGGAUCUGAUGUUUAGUGGGCGGAAACAUCAAGUACUACUGAAAGUAGUGUUCUUAUAGAUGUUUCCAUGCAUUCUGGAGACAUGCCCAGGCAUUGACGUGUUUGUGUGUUGAAAGUUGCAGAGAUCCUCCAGGGAACAAAUGAUGAAAGACUGCAGAGCGUAUGUAACUUCCUCUUUCCCUUUCAAGGCCAUUCUAUGGCGUAAAUAUGAUUUUUUUUUAUUUUUUUUUGUGUGUGUUUGUUUGUUUAUGUGCUUGUGUAUGUACGCAUCUAACCUUUGUCACACACACAGAUCUGCCUAUAUACACAUCCUCAUCACGUCAACUGACCUUACACAAGCCGUAAAUUCCUCAAGGCCGACUUCUUCAGCACAGAAAACAGGAUAUGAAAAUGCAUCCCUCUAAAUCCUCCCAGCCAGAUGAAAACUGAGAAUAUUCUAGGUAUUUAGCAGACCCAGAUGCCGCGUGCUGGAAAUGUGCUCUCGGUUCCUCUCCCUCCAAACGUCUUCAAGAUCAUGCCACUCUCUCACCAAGUUCUCAUACGUCACACAGUUUUGCACAUGUAACUGUACCUUCUCUCAAGGGCUUCUUCAGGUCAUGGGCGACGAUCGCCUUCGUGAUCCGCUCUAGUCUAAUGUCAAUCUGUCCACAAGUGCAUUAAAAGAUUGUUGAGGGUCGUCGUCUCAGCUGCUCUUAAAGAAACGGCACACAUAAGAAGCUCGGCCUGUCUGUGUUGCAGGUGUACUUAGGCCGUGGAUAGUACAGUGUGCUACUGUCAGAACCUCCUGCUUUAACCCUCUUUAAAGUCAGACGGUAAGGGUUAACAGCUACAUUUAGAUUAGAUUACUAUGAAGGUCCUAAUGAACAUACUUUCAGUAUGGACAAAGUGUGACUGAAUGAUGUGAUUCUCAAAUAAAGAAGUAAAAUGGCUUUGGGGAAGACUUGCCUUGUUUAUUUUUACUUAAACGUGUGACAUAUUUUGUUGUGGUUCUAAAUUCUUUAUGAAUGUGAACAUGAUUUCUACUUCCUAGUUUUUCAUGAGUUGUAUUUUUGAAAGCUUUACAAGGUUGAGAUUCAAUUUAAUGUAGUAGGUAAUGGUUAAUCUUCUUAUGUUGGAGCCGUUUUACAGCUAGGCCUUUCAAGGCUCUUUCCCACCAUUUAAUACAGUGGUACUAAUUGAUUUCACUUCUAACUGUGAAACAAAACACUUAAAUCUAAAUAUUAUUAUUCAGGGAAAUAUUUUUCAUUGAAUCGUGCCUGUCAAAGCAUUCUUUAAAGGGACAAGCCAAAUGGCAACAUCUGUUGCACGCUACGAUCCCCCAUAAACUAACUUCUGACUAGAUAUGUCAAUGCUGUUUGUUUUUGUUUGGUUGUUUCCUCAAGAUACAAAUUAAAAAAAAUUUACAGACAUCUUGUGUUGAACUGGAACAUACCUUGAAUAUGAGACAGGUCACAGAGCCCUUUUUGUUUAAUUAAGCUUGAGCUUGAAAGGUCUUCACAAGUUCAAAAUAAUCCCAAAUGGCAAAGGUCAGAUACCUCACAGUUACUUUGCACCAGGGUGAAGGGUGCUCAGAUCACCUGCCAGGGAUCUUCCAUGUACUUUCAACUCUUUAGAUAAUGUUCAAACUGAACACAUUUUGUACAAUGGACAGUUUUCCAUUCAGGAGGAGUCCGAUGUC
ensembl:lncRNA